CUCAGGGCACACAGGAACUGGGAGCUCCUCCCCAUCAGGAGUUCAGCAAGUGUUGGAAGUACUAUCUCAAGCCCAUCUUGCUAGUCUCCUGCUCUCCAGCCCAUUUCACCCUGCACUUCUGUGGUCUUUCUUUAAGACGACUGUGUACCUGCGCCCUCAAAGAAGUUAGCUUUGAAACAACAGCUGACCAAUUUCUGGACAAUUUUGUUAACGAGAACACUCCACCUGCCGGGUUUUCCCUUGAUCCUGGCUAUGAUUAUGGCUAAUGAUUCCCAGCUGUUCCCUUUGUGGUGCAUUUGCUCUUUAUGUGAAUUUGG